GAUGAACGCUGGCGGCGUGCCUAAUACAUGCAAGUCGAGCGAACGGACGAGAAGCUUGCUUCUCUGAUGUUAGCGGAGGACGGGUGAGUAACACGUGGAUAACCUCCCUAUAAGACGGGGAUAACUUCGGGAAACCGGCGCUAAUACCGGAUAAUCUUUUGAACCGCAUGGUUCAAAAGUGAAAGACGGUCUUGCUGGCACUUAUAGAUGGAUCCGCGCUGCAUUAGCUAGUUGGUAAGGUAACGGCUUACCAAGGCAACGAUGCAUAGCCGACCGGAGAGGGUGAUCGGCCACACUGGAACUGAGACACGGUCCAGACUCCUACGGGAGGCAGCAGUAGGGAAUCUUCCGCAAUGGGCGAAAGCCUGACGGGGCAACGCCGCGUGAGUGAUGAAGGUCUUCGGAUCGUAAAACCCUGUUAUUAGGGAAGAACAUAUGUGUAAGGAACUGUGCACAUCUUGACGGUACCUAAUCAGAAAGCCACGGCUAACUACGUG
rnacentral:rRNA from 1 species